rnacentral:lncRNA from 1 species
UCAUAUAAAACUCGGACUGAGUAUUUGCUAUCCAGUUGUCUGACGGAUUAGUUGCUCGACUGACCCAAGUCCACAGGACAUCUUCAAAGUUUGAAGCUUUCUGUCCUGCUAUUGUUGUCGGUUAUAGAAAUCCUAUCGGGUCGCUAUCUUUGAUCUUUUAUUAGAUCUACAAGCUCUAAAUAGUUCGUGCCAAUACCCCUCCUGUCUAUAGUUUUCGUUCCUUGCUCAUAUCUCCUCGCUGAGGCAUCCACCCAAAGGUCUUCCGUUCCACGUGAUCAAAACAUCUCAAACGAAUUCCUCUCAUAUUAUCCUCGAUUGGUUGGCAGUCCCUACUUUUACCUGCAUUAAUUGAUUUUGAAUCUUGCCUUUUCUCUCGAAUGUCAUGUCCUACGAAGCAUUCUCAAGGUGCCGUCAGCAUGAUCUCCAGUUUCGUCAAAUUAGAUCGAAGUUAAUGGAAGGAUUCAGUCGUCAGUACUACAUGAUGUCCAAUUUUCUCGAGGUUUCAUUGACUUUCUAUAAUUCCUAGACUUACACCCUAAGGUUAGCAGAGUUUUCCUUCGAAGUUCAGGUUUCUGGUUAGCUCCAGCAUGGGUUUCACCUACGAACACCAUAUCAUCUACAGAGAAAAUACACCAAUUGACAUCAUCUUGAAUUUGUCUUGUCAGCAUGGAUGGAUUCACCAUGGGGCCAAUGGAGGCACUUCCCCCUUUAAGCUUCCUAUAAAUUGAAAUGGGAACUACAAUAUGUUGUAAUCAUUUGGUGAAUUUGCCCCACGAAAAUACAAGUGUGUACUUAUAAGUCUUGAUUCAACAUGGGAAGAAAGGAGAUUGCAAAAUAUGCGAGUCAUUCAUUCGGUUUUGCUCGCAUCUUGCCUGAUCCAUCAAAUCAAUAAGGCAUUUUGGGUGUUCAAGGUUUACUUACCAAAAAUGAGCCUCUUUGUCAUAGGAAGCUGAGGAAAUCUUCCCCUCGCCAGCGUGCCAUGUGGUUCAAGGCCACCGCAGUCAGUUCGUCUCUGUGAUUUGUAGUUCACUGGUGAUUAUAUGCUUGCUAGAAAUCCAAGCAUGGAAGAAAUUAAUCUCGUGUGGAGAUUUUCCGUUGAUUGUUGCGAUCGCCAGAGUAAGCGUCCGGAGUUGGUGACCGUCGGUUGGAGCAGGUGACCCAGUUGGUGUUGGUUCGGUGGCGAUGUGUAUGUUGGAUACGACACAUAUAGAGGUUGAUUCGUUGCCAAUAAUUCUGGUUCGGUUAAGUUGCAGAAGGAAUAGGGAGAUUCAAGGAAGAAGAAGGCACAAGGUUGAAGGAGAAGGGAAAAAGACAAAAUAAGGAAGAAGACAAAGGGGAAAGAAAAAAAGAAAUUAAGAAAAUCAUAUAAAAAAGAUUUUAAAAAAUAAAAAAAAUAUUUAAAAUUUCGAAAGAAAAUAAAACAAAUUAUUAAAAAAUGUCACGUCAGCGUUCACCGGAUGGCUGACGUCCACGUCAGUGUUGGUCGGCUAAUUUUGGCAAGAUGGAUUGAAUUGACACAAUUAUAAAAUGUAUAGGACUAAAUUGACAAAAAAAAAGUUUGAUUGAAUUGACAUAAUUGCAAUAGGUUUAUGACUUUUUUAGUGAUUCUCCCCUAACAAUAUGGACAAGACAUCCCCAUCAUUGGUCUCGGUGUUGUCGGUUACACUUGCUUCAUCGGAGCUAUUCUUCUUUUUCUCAUUCUUUUUUGAUAGAAUCUCUUGGUAUGCCCUUUUUCAUUACACACGUAGCAUCUUCCUUUAAACUUUCCCUUGAAUUGUGAUUGACCGGCUCAAUCCGUAAUCCGUUGAUCUUCCUCUUCCUUGAUUGCUUUUCUCCUUCCCAAAGAGUCCCUCUCUCGAAGAUUUUGAACUACCUGCCUUUUUCCAAGUAUCAUUUGAAAUUAAGGUAGCAAUCUCCUCCCCGAUCUCUAGGGUUUCAUUGCAAUAAAGGAGUGCGGUCACCAAGUGGUCAAAUGAAUCUGACAACGACACCAAUAGUGAAAGCGCUAUGUUUUCAUUCUCAAACUUUACCUCCAAGCUUGCAAGUUCACUGAUCGUCUAAUUAAAUACAAUGAGGUGUUCCAAUAAAUCUCUUCUUCACUUAUCUAAAGCGAAUACAAUCUCUUCAUCAAGAACAACUUAUUUGUAAAAGAUUUCAUCAUGUAAAUGCUUUCGAGUUUGAGCCAUACCUUUGGAGCAGAUUUGAUUUCCGUCACAUAUUGAAGGGCCUCGUCCGAUAGGCUCAAUCGGAUCGCACUCCAUGCCUUCUCUUCCAUGUUGGCCUAGUCAUCAUCAGCAAUGGUGUUUGGCUUGUUUGAUCUUCCCGGAAGAACCCUUGUUGAAUCGACAAAUCGUUCAUCCUUCUCUACCAUAGUGUAAAAUUAUUCUUCUCGGUAAAUCAUUUGAUAUCAAAUCAAACAGUCAAACCUUUUUCCAGCCAUCCACUCAAAAGUCGCAAUACAAGAAUGGGGAACUUGCAUUGCUCCGAUACCAAUUGUUGUGGAAAAGAGCACCCUAACUAAAUGAGAUGAAAAACAAGAAUAAUCAAGAACACAGAGAUUUACAUGGUUCGAUGAAAAUCUACCUAUGUCCACGAUAGAGAGAGAGACUAUUUCUUCUUUCUUGAGUGUAUUUAGAUAUAAGAUACAAUACUAAAUAAAUAGAUCAUCGGAUCCCCACUUCCUUAAUCCCAAUAGGAAACGAAUUACACCCUAGAGAUCUUAUCAUUUUUUAAAGUAACUAAUAAAUCUUUAGUGAUUAUCCCUUAAAUAUUAGGGAUAUCAUUACAUAUCCUAAUUACAUUGAAUUUGGAUUAUUUCCCAUGAAAUUCCUUGUAGAUAGGUCCAAAUCUAGGAAAUAUAUCUAGAAACGUAUAGCUUGCAAGCUCCAAACCUUCCUAGACUUCCCGAUCAACUUUCCGAGUCUCUAAUCGAUGGAAAUUUCUUGGAAUUCAAGACAACAUCAGCAGAGUCAAAGAUGAGGCCUUAUCUUUUCCAAGUCUCUAAUCGAGCGAAAUUUCUUGGACUUUUCGAUGAAAGUCUCAUCGAUCUUAAAUGCAUGCCGAUUUUCUUGGUUCAAUGAAUCCGUGUUGAAUACGGGUUGCAUCAUCGUAUUAUUCCACACUCUUUACUUUUCAACAUUGUGGAAGCAUGCAAGAAUCUUCUUUAAUCCCACGCGCUUGUGUCGCUGCUCUGCUCUUUCCAGCAUGUAAAUGCUAUGUAAGACUCACGUUAUAGCAUCUUAUAUAUGGUUAACAAUCUCAACCUUUGACAUUCCAACUCCAAGGAAGUCUAGUGAACGAAAAAGAGAGAACGUGUGUGGACCGAAAGCUUCAGGUGAUUAGCCCGAGCGAUUACAGUUCACCCACAAGCUGGGAACAAUGCCAUUUCUUCAAUUAUGUUUCAUAUUAUUUUAUGAUUGAAAUCAUAAUUAGUUUAGUCUUCAUCUAUAUUUCAUUUCUUCACCUCAUUCGUUUCUUAUUUAUUAUCAUUAUCACUCAUGAAUUAUUAUAUUUCAUAUUAGAUAAUUUCACACAACUAGCAUAUUUUUACGAUUACAUUAAAGAUAUAGAGCCUAUAGAAUUUUUCCACAUAUUAACCAAUCCAAACAAACGUAGAUGAUUAGAUUUAAAUCACAAAUCACUUAAUAAUUUUAUAUAUUUAUUGAAAUCACUCUAUGUUAUUUCUUAUCAUUUAUAUAGUACCUCAGAUCUUGAGGGCUAUAUACCAACUAAGGGGGAGAUAUAUAUAUAAAAGAAUGCUCCAUAGCUAAGCACCUUACUUUUGCAGGGAUAUACGCCUCUUCACUUGGCGUCUGUAAUAGCGAGGGAAUUGUUACAAUCGGAUCCCCUUGCAUGCCUUGUCCAUGAUGAAAAUGGAAGGACCCCACUUCAUCUGGCCACGAUGAAGGGCCGAAUCCACAUCCUGAUAGAGCUGGUCGUCAUGCCUUGUCCAUGAUGAAGAUGGGAGGACCACCACUUCAUCUGGCCACGAGGAAGGGCCCAAUCAACAUCGUGAUAGAACUAGUCCUCAUGUAGAUGCUUUCGAAUUUGAGCCAUACCUCUGGAGUGGAUUCAAUUUCCGCCAUGUAUUGAAGGGCAUCGUCUGAUAUGGCUCAAUUGGAUCGCAUUGCACGCCCUCUCCUCCAUGUUGGCCCAGUCAUCAUAAGUGAUGCUAUCCGACUUGUUCAAUCUUCCCAAAAGAACCUUCGACAAACUCAGUUGAGGACGGAUUGCAUCAUCGUAUUUUUCCACACUCUUUACUUUUCAACAUUGUGGAAGCAUGCAAGAAUCUUCUUUAAUCUCACGCGUUUGUGUCGCUGCUCUGCUCUUUCCAGCAUGUAAAUGCUAUGUAAGACUCACGUUAUAGCAUCUUAUAUAUAGUUAACAGUCUCAACCCUUGACAUUCCAACUCCAGGGAUGCCUAGUGAAAGAAAAAGAGAGAUCGUGCGUGGACCAAAAGCUUCAGGUGAUUAACCCAAGCGACUUCGCGUUCACCACAAGCUGGGAACAAUGCCAUUGAUCACAAGCCCGAGAAGAAGGCCGCCAUCCCCGCCAUCGCAUCAACAAGCUUCCUCAGCAUCUGAAAGAAGACACCGAGAGAAGAGGCUCUAUGAAGCGUCGCUUGGUGGGUGUGUCGAGUCGUUAGCUCAGUUGCUGCAAGAAGACCAACUCAUCCUGGCUCGGGCUUCCGUCACUUGCUUCGACGAGACACCAUUGCAUGUGGCCUGCAUGCUCGAUCAUGUACAUUUUGCCAAGGCUCUUCUGGCUCAUAAAAGGGAUUUGGCUAUGGAGUUGGACUCGUAGGUAUGUCAAAGCGAAAACCUUAGUUGUGGUUGUUUGAUAUCCUUUUGUCAGAUCAAACUGAACCUAGUCAUCCUCGCAAACCAGAUAAUUGGUGGAAUCGCAACUGUUUUGAUUAGAUUUUUGCAAGUUUUAGGCUUUUAGCCAUGUGUAAAGUAAUUUAUUAACUAUAUUUCCAUGGAAUAUCUCUACAUCGAUCAGACUAUCUUGCUUGUCAAAUUAGAUUUUGCACAUGUAACGUAGCAUUUUGUUUUCCAGUUUUCAUGAUCUGUGAGAAAUCAAACCCAUCAUAUAUACAGAAAUCAAGUCAUGGAUUUCCAGGUUAAUUCAACCUGAAAGAUCUUACAGACACUAGUGAAUUUGAGCAGCUCAGUCUAUUUGAUUUGAAAAUACAAUAUAUAUAAAUCACAUGAAUGUGUCCCUCAAUAUGAAUGCUCCAUUGUCAAGCACUUUACCUUUGCAGGGACGUAUGCCUCUUCACUUGGCGUCUGCGAACGGAUAUGUCGAAAUAGCGAGGGAAUUGUUACAAUCAGACCCCCUCGCAUGCCUUGUCCAUGAUGAAGAUGGGAGGACCCCACUCCAUCUAGCCAUGAUGAAGGGCCGAAUCAACAUCGUGAUAGAGCUGGUGAAGGCAAGACCGGAGGUGGCCGAGCAUAGGCUAAGCCACGGCCAAACCACUCUCCAUUUGGGAGUGAGACAUAAUCGUUUGGAGACUCUGAAAGUCCUAGUGGAGAUGGUGAGAGAUGGUGAUUUGGUGAAUGCUCAAGAUGAUGAGGGUAAUACCAUUUUGCAUUUGGCUGCAGCAAACAAGCAAAUAGAGGUAAUCCUUUCCGCUUCGAAUUGCUUCGAAAUUGUGAUGACGUCAGAUAUCGCAUUCCAAUUGAACAUUUUGUGAAGAUAAAAUCCGGCUCAUUCUAAUUUUUCUAUAGACUCAAGUUUUCUAGAUUCAAACUUCAAUAGAUAUAUCGAUUGAAAAAACUUACAGGAAAUAUCUUUGUUUGUUGUUUCUUUUAUAAUUGAUAAGAAGCUUAUCUUUUUGUGCAGACAGUGAAAUAUCUACUUCAAAGAAGAGAAGUGGAUGUCAACACAACGAAUAGAAAUGGCUUCUCUGCUCUGGAUAUAGUGGAACAUUUUCCAAAGGAUUUCAAAGUCAUUGAAUUGAGAGAACUGUUAGUACAUGCUGGAGCUUCGAGAGCCAUAAGAUUACCUAUAUUGACAACUCACCAAGCAAUUGUUGAUAACACAAAUGAGGAAAAUUCAAUUGUUGUAGUUGACCUAGCAUCUGUAGCACCUCCCUCCACCAAUACUCCUCCGAUAAAGGCGUUUCCGCCAGAGUCUUUCUCGGGUGAUAUCAGGAAGCAGAAGGAAGACAAACCCGAGGAAUGGAUCGAGAAGAAGCGCAAUUCUUUGAUGGUAAUGCUUUAGCUAGAUGUCUUGGAGUAGCAUUUGCUGAAAACUUAGAUUAGAUCAUAGCUCACAACUAGUUAAUUUGAACCCUCUAUUUGUUUUAUGAAAAAUGGAUUAUUAAGAAUUUCCUAAAAAUGAUCGUUUGUGUCAUUUAAAAUAAAUAGUUAUGCUUUCCUAAAAAUGUUUUCUACAUAUGUACUAAAUUGCUUAUAAUUAAAUAGCUAUGUAUAGAAAGAAGUUCAGUAAUUACAAUAAUAUAUGGCUUAUGAUUAAAAAAAAAAAAACAGAGGGUAAUAUAAGAAAUCUAAUAGUGAGAAGGAUGAAACAAGUUGAUGAAUAUUUAAGAAAGUAAUGGUACUUAAGAAAAUCUAACUGUGAAGCAAUUGGUUGAUUUUCUUUAAAUAUCUAUACUAAUACAUAAAGUAGAGAGGAUUUCUAAAAGACUGAAUCUUUUAUCUUCUCCAAAUAUUCUCAACAACUUGGGGCCUGUUUGGUAAUCAUUCUAUUCUCGGAAAUAAUUUAUGCUUAAAUAUGAUUUUUUUUUUUAAUUUUGUUUCCUAAAUAGUACUUAAAGGCAUUUGGUAACUAUUCAAAAUUUAUAUUCUCUGAAUAAAAAUGCAUUUGGUAAGACUUUAAAUUCUUUUGUGAUUUAGAAAUUCUUUUUAAUUUUUUAAUAUAUAUAUUUUAAUAUUUUUCACUUUUUCUUGUUCUUUUUCUCCUUCUUCCUCUUGCUGGCAACCAGCCAAACAAGGGCCAACAACCUUGUUAGAGCGUCGCCGGCCCCUGGCAAGGUCGAGCCUCGCUGGCCGAGCCUCCCUAGCCAGGCUUGACCUCACCUUGGUUGGGUGGGCGAGCUCGACCUCGCUCAUAUUUGGCGAGGCCAAGCUCACCCAUGGCCAGGCGACGCGAGCCUUGCCAGCGGUGAAGAAUAUAAAAGUGUUUUAUUUUCCACACGUUUAGUUAUUAGAUUUUGAUUUUCUUUCUAACAACAAUAGCAACCUUUAUAAAAAGACGUUCAAAUUUCGAAAUAUCUUCAUUUUUUUUCUCAUAUAUGUGUAUAUCCAUACACUUAGUUUUUUCAUAAUUUAAUCCAUGACCUCUAUUUUUGUAGAGAGCUUGCCACAAUUUUCUUGUUUUUCGAUAAAUAUAGGAAAAGCCAUCAAUUGAAUUUGUGUAUUUGUUGAAAUGACUAACUUUGACUCGACGAUCUUCGUAUUUUCAAAUAUAGGUGAAACACUAUUUCUUCAUUCACAAUUUUAAAACUUUCUUUCACGUCACGACAGAUAACUGCCACCGUGAUCGCAGCCAUGGCUUACCAAGCAGGCCUUAGCCCUCCCGGCGGCUUGUGGAACGACGAUCAGAAAGCAAAAGACGACACCAUCUUAUACUACACAUCAACAUCGAUAAUGGCUGCAAACAGUCAAGAGAUUUCCCCACGUUUUUGGACAUGCAACACCGUCUCUUUUCUUGCAUCCCUUAGCACGAUCUUCUUGCUCAUGAGUGGCUUGCCCUUGGGGAAGAAGGUUUUGAUGUGGAUUCUGAUGGCCACAAUGUGGGUGACCAUCAUUUUCAUGGCCCUGACUUACCUCUAUUCCAUGAUGGCCAUCUCGUGCAUACACAGGGGACCUACACAUGUGAGACUGAUGACAGGGGGUUGGUACUCCGUGGAUUCGGGGUCAAUCACGGUGGUUACGUUCUCCUCGUCUGUUUGGCUCGGCAUUGUAGCCAUUGUUUUUUUAGUUCACACCGUUCGAUUCCUCACGAUCAUCCUUCGGAAUGUGAAAGAUCCGCAAAAGCUCAAGAAGUGGAUAUCAGGGUGUGUGAGUUGGUGCAGAUCUAGGGGCACCGUCAAGAUCUAGUGUAUUCAUCUGGUGGGACAACGGAUUACUGCAUAGUCUUGAUGCCUGUGUUCUUUCUAACUUAAUCCCUAUGUCAUAAGAUCAUUAUGAGUACUGCUAGUUGCGCAAACGAUUUAAUGAGACUACUAAACCAAACGCAGAGUCCAUCUCGCAUUAUUCUCGAGCUCUCCUCAUCAGAGAUGUCUUGCACGCAUAGCCGAAUCUUUCCAAAGAAACUGGGAAGGCCUGGCCACAAAGUAAUCUGAUCUACUCCUAUGUAUGCCGCAAAUUAGUAGGUAAAAGCAACAUUGGGCCAUUCUAUGAUUUGUCUCACACAGCUUUGAUGUUGCUAGUAUGAGUACCUAGAGGAGGGUGAAUAGGUAUAUAAAAGAUUUUUCUUCAACAAUUGCACAAUACUAGACAGUUGAAAGAAAUGAUAAUCAAAGUAAGACUAAGAGAGAAGAGAAAAUUGAACACGCGGUUUAUAGUGGUUCGGCUUAUAUCAAGCCUACGUCCACUCUUCUUCACUGACAACCUAUUGGCUGGAUUCCACUAUGAACAAAAGAGAAGUUACAGCACAGUUUUGCCUUGAUUCCACAGUGUAGAUAUUCUACCACAUCUCCUCAAGAUUUCUCACAAAUAUAGACUCUCUUUUGUAUACAAGUAUUCGCUCAAAGGAUUUGUCUAAACAAAAAGGAGCUUCAGACUUUGGAAUUCUUCUAUCGCGCACACCUUGAACAACUAAGACCGUCUUCCUUAUAUACUCCUUUAUGCCAUCAUACUUGUUGGCACUUACCAAAGGAAGUCCUCCAAUCUACCCGUUGGACGGAAUCAAUUAGAAAGAUUGUUCAAGCUAUUAAAGGAACGUGUUGAUAGCCCAUCAAUCCUGUUCGCCCAUACAAUCAGGAUCUCGGUUUCCAUAAGCAGAACCUUCCAAUAAUAUUUAGGCAAUCACCGGAUCUUCAAUUAUCGAGUCAAUCUUCGAUCAAUUAAAGGACUCCGUUAUGUCUUCUCCAGCCACGAGAUCUUCUCCAGUUGAUAAGGUUAAAUCCUUAACGAAACAUACAGUUCUGGAUAACCUUUCUUCAACGGAUUAGAGACUGUCAAUGAGGAUAGACUUUGAGUCUUGAGUCUGGCUGUCCGGAGGUCUUCAGACUUUAAACAGCAAAGUCUGCAAGCGUUCAGACUAGACUGAUAGAAACGUUUUGUCAACUUCAAAACACUUCAAGAAGAUUUCUCCAACAAUCUCCCCCUUUUUUAUGGUGACAAAACUUUCCUGCAGAUUUGGAUAUCUUUGACCUGCAAAACAUUUCUCAAACACAUAUGCAUAUCUUAUAGAGAUAAAUGGCUAACAGAAUAACACUAGAAUCUGCAACCACAGAAAAUAGGUUAGUCCAGUAUAUGAUGAAGCCAUUCAUAAGAUAUCAAUAUUAGUUGAUAGAAGCAGUCAAGUCCAAGUCUAGUUCAGUUCUCAUCCAGACACAAAACAAAGUCAAACAGAGUUCAAACCACAAAACAAUCCAACAAUCAAUUAAAAGUUUAAUGAAUGAAAAGUUUUUGUUCAAAUUUUGCAUCUCUCCCCCUUUUUGUCAUCAUUAAUAAGGAUGAGAUGAAGUCAAGAUUGCUUGGGAACGCGGACAAGCUGGAAAUCUUCCAUAGACUGAACGAUGCCUUCCAGCCUUUUAAGGUCUUCCUUUAGAUGUGCAAUUUCCUCACUCUUGGCAUUGGCCUGAUUCUGAAUAGAGAGGGCUUGCAUUUUCUCAUUCAAUGAACAGGAAGAAGCUUGACCUUCAUUCUUCAAGCUUUGAACUUCGCAUCCCAAGGCAUAAAUUUGACCUCGCAUCUCCAAGAGAAUAUCCAUUAUUCUGCGAAAAUCUGCUCCAUUAUCAGUCUGAGUACUUGCUUCUGCUCGAUCUGAUGGAGUAAAUGCAGACGAUGGUAGAUCAGCAUAAUCUCGCAGGUUUGGUGAUGAAACUUCAUGACCUUUUUCUGGAAACUGAGAUGCAUAAACAUCCUCUGGGUCUGCUGGUGAGCGACUGACUCCUUCACUUGCAUCAGGACAUGAAGACUUCACUCCUUUCUCCUGAUCUCCCCCUGUUUCCAUGCUUACAGGUGGAGAAGAGUGUUCCUCAGUUUCUCCUUCUUCUCUUCUUUCUUCUUCAGGUCUUUCCUCCUCUGUUUCUUUUUCAGCUUCUAUUUCUUCUUCUUCCUUCUCCUCUGCUUCUUUUGUCAUUUGUUCCGAUUCUUUCUGUGGAACAGGACGACUUAAAUUCUUCAAAGCCAAUGCAGAGAUGGUGAUGUCUUCCUCAUCAUCUUCAUCCUCAACGAGGAGAGCUCUUCUCUUGGAUGGAGCAACCAUGGGCUCCUUCCCUUUUCUUUUAGCUGUAGAAGAGAUUUGAUGAGAUUUUGCAGAAGUCUUCUCCUUGAAUUUCUCCAACUCCUUGCUCAGUUCCUUCAGACGCAUUUUGGUCACCAUUUUCAGUCCUACCACCAUAUGAUCGCAUGGUCGAACACAAAAGAUUUGUGGAGGCUGAAUAUUCAGAUGUCUGAAUAACUUCAUAACAAGGCUUGGGUAAGGGAGUUGACCUCUGUCCUUCAUCAUUGCUCUAUACAUGUGAAACAUCACAGUGUGAGGGAGAGAAAACCUUUUUCCAAAGAGAAUAGCAUACAUCAGCUUGGCCUCUGAACUUGAAACAUCAGUCUUGGAAGUUGAUUUCGGUCGGAGGCAAUUAAUCACAAUCUUGUGAAGCAAGAUGUUGAAUGCACCCAUCCUUAAGUAGGUGAUCUUUUCAUCUGUUCUCCUGUCCUUCACCAGUUCAAGUGUGGCCCGAGCAAUAGAAAUUUUGAUUGGUUGAUAUCUUCCUCUUUCAACUUCUAACACAUCUGCCAGCAAAUUCAUAUCCACAACAUAGUCUUGGUCUUUAAAUCUGAAAGAGAAUCUAUUCGCAUCCAAAAAGCUUAGAUUUGAAUAGAAAUAUGCAGUUAAUUCAUCAUAUGCCUCUGUAGAGUCAGAGCAGAACUUUUCAAGUUGAAGAUAACUGAACUUUUCCCUCAAGUUCAUAUUCACAGCAUCCAGAAAAUCAAAAUCCACACUCCUAGGGUUUAUUACCCCACGCUUCAGCAAUUUUGAGUACAGAUCCUUUUGCUCAUUCGAUCUGAACAAAUCUCCCAUUUUUCCUUGAUUUUCAACCGCAACACCCAUUUUUGGUUGAAAUUGACUGUACAAUUUAUCAUCAUCAUUCCCAUCUGCAGGAUUCGGCCCCCAGUCACGAGGAUCACUUGGGAUAUUUGCAAGGGUUUCCUCAGCCACCCCUUUUCGAGCAAUUCCCAAACUUUCCAUUUUUCGCAGAAAGAUAUAUUCGUUCCCAUGUCCUUUGUCUUUAAGAAACUCAUCAAUGUAGUUCAAAGGAGUACGAAUUCCUUUUAAGGCACGAUAUAACUGGUAAAUAUAAGCGGGCUUUUGAACUCUUACAGGGUCUGCUUCCUCGAUGAUUUCUUCCUGUUGUUGUUGAUCAACGCCUUUAGGACUAGAUGGAGGAGAAUGACGCUGCUGAGAAUGUUGUGGGCUCGCUUGCUGUUCUGGAAUAACUUCUUCUUCAGUAAGAUCGAAGUGCGUAGGCUCCUCACUCAUCCGCCGUGGUCCCCUGCUUGCGAUUCUUGAAGACUUUCUUGAAGAUGACAUCUUUCUCAGUUUUUGGAAGAUUCCUUGCUUGACUUUCCCAGGAAAGAUGACAACUUUUUGAGGAUUAAACGAAGAAGACAAACGGGAAUGGAGGAUCGAUGCUUUCUAGGGUUUUUGAGAGAAAAUUGAAGAGAAAUCGACAGUGCACGAUCGGUUAAAAAGAGGGAUAAACGAACCGUCACAAAGGAAAUAAAAAAGUAUGCCUUUUCAAAAUAACUGUCUUUUUCCGCAAAAAUAGCCAUUUAAAAAAUAACUUCCUUUUUGAAAAUGAAACGAUGCAAUAUUUACGUCAAUUAAAUAUAUCAACAAUUUAAACACAGUCUGACGAUCGUACCUUUUCAAGAUGAGAUUCAAGAGAGAAAGACUUACAGUCUGACGGACGUACUAAGAUUGUCUUUAAGAUAAAGUCUUGUAAGUCUGAGUCUGAAAGUCUUUAGACUUUGAUAUCCUCAUACCUCAAAAUGUUGAGUUUGGAACGUAUAGACUCAAAUUGAUUUUUCUCCAAAGGCUUUGUGAAUAUAUCUGCCAAUUGAUUCUUUGAGUCAACAAAUUGAAUUGAAACAUCUCCAUUUUGAACAUGGUCUCUAAUAAAGUGAUGUCGAAUCUCUAUAUACUUUGCUAUUGAGUGGAGAAUUGGAUUUUUGGUAAGGUUGAUAGCGCUGGUGUUGUCGCAAUUAAUCUCCGUGCAUGAGUCUUCAAUUUCAAAGUCUCUUAGCUAUUGUUUUAUCCUUAGAAUUUGCGAACAGCAGCUUCCCAAGGCCACAUACUCUGCUUCUGUUGUUGAAAGGGACACAGUGCUUUGUUUCCUUGAAAACCAAGACACUGUCCUGCUUCCAAGCAACUGGCAAGUUCCCGAAGUGCUCUUUCUAUCAACUCUGCAACCGGCCAGAUCUACGUCUGAAUAUCCCAGAAGAUUAAAGUCUCCCUUCUUAGGAUACCAAAGACCGAUGCUUGAUGAUGAAGCAACGCAUUUAAUGAUGCGUUUCGCAGCACUGAGAUGGGAUUCUCUAGGAUCUGAUUGAAACCUAGCACAGAUGCAAACACUCAACAAGAUGUUAGGUCUAGAAGCAGUAAGAUAAAGGAGUGAACCAAUGAUGCUCCUGUACAGCUUUUGAUCAACUUUCUUCCCUUCUUCAUCUUUGUCUAUCUUCAAAGAACUUGACAUCGGUAUGUCGGUCUUUUUGCACUUUUCCAGUCCAAAUCUUUUGACAAGAUCAUUAACAUAUUUUUCCUGAUAAAUAAAAGUUCCUUCCUUCAAUUGUUUUACUUGAAGACCAAGAAAGAAUGUUAACUCUCCCAUCAUACUCAUUUCAAAUUCAUCCUGCAUAGACUUAGAAAAUUUCUUGCACAGAUUUUCAUUAGAGGAUCCGAAAAUAAUGUCAUCCACAUAUAUUUGAACAAGUAAGAAACUUUUGUUUUCCUUUUUGAUAAAUAAAGUCGUAUCUACUUUACCUUAAACAAAACCAUUUUGUAUUAAAAACUUACUUAAUCUGUCGUACCAAGCUCGAGGUGCUUGCUUUAAACCAUACAAAGCAUUUUUCAGUUUGAAGACUGAGUCUGGCUUCUUUGGGUCUUCAAACCCUGGUGGUUGUUCCACAUAAACUUCCUCAUGGAUAAAUCCAUUUAGGAAGACGCUUUUGACGUCCAUUUGGAAUAACCUGAAAUUCUUAUAACAAGCAAACGCAAGUGAUAGUCGAAUAGCUUCUAACCUUGCUACUGGAGCGUAAGUCUCAUCAUAGUCUAUUCCUUCUUCUUGCGUAUAUCCCUUGGCCACGAGUCUUGCGUUGUUUCGUACGACUUUUCCUUUCUCAUUCAUCUUGUUUCUGAACACCCAUUUAGCUCCAAUAACAGUUUUACCUUUUGGUUUGGAUGUCAAUUCCCAGACAUCAUUAAUGCUGAACUGUCUGAGCUCUUCUUGCAUAGCUUCAAUCCAGCUUUCAUCAGAUAAAGCUUCUUCUAUACUUUUUGGUUCAAUUUCAGAAACGAGAGCCACAGCACUAGACUCUUCUCGCCUUUUGGAUCUGGUGCGAAUUCCUUCAUUAAUUUCGCCGAUUAUAAGAUCUUUGGGAUGACUGGACUUAUGCUUCCAGUUAUUUGUUGAUUUGUCUGGUUUAUGAUCUAUCUCUUUGUUUGGAUCUUCACGAUCAUCCUGAUGCUGGUUUUCCAGAGUCUGAGAUGCUUCUUGAGUUGUAAGCUUUGGAAGGUCUGGAGCAGGUUCAGACUCUUCUUGAUGAGUCUGACUUGAUUCAUCUUGCGUUGAGUCUUGAAAUUUGACAUUCAUUGACUCCUCCACAGACUGGCUCUUCUUGUUAUAGACUCUAAAGGCUUUGCUUGAUGUAGAAUAUCCAAGGAAGAUACCUUCAUCUGAUCUUUCUUCAAACUUACCAACUCGAUCUUUUGCAUUUUUCAAUAUAAAACAUUUGCAACCGAAUACAUGAAAGUAUGAAACAAUAGGCUUCUUAUCUUUGAACAACUCAUAAGGGGUUUUCUCUAGAAUAUGUUUUAAGAAGACUCUAUUGAUGAUAUAGCAUGCUGUUGAAACUGCUUCAGCCCAAAAUCGUGAAGAAAUCUUGCUUUCAAUUAAAAGAGUUCUGGCCAUUUCUUGAAGAGAUCUGUUCUUUCUUUCCACAACUCCAUUUUGCUGAGGAGUAUAUGGAGAGGAGAAUACAUGAUUAAAUCCAGAUUCAUCACAAAAUUUUGUAAAAUCUUGAUUUUCAAAUUCACCUCCAUGAUCUGAUCUUAUAUUAGAGAUGACACAUCCUUUUUCAUUUUGAACCUUUUUAGCAAAAUUUUCAAAAUACGAGAAGGUUUUGGACUUACUUGCAAGGAAAUAUACCCAAGUAAAACGGGAGUAAUCAUCCACAAUUACUAGACAAUAUUUNNNNNNNNNNNNNNNNNNNNNNNNNNNNNNNNNNNNNNNNNNNNNNNNNNNNNNNNNNNNNNNNNNNNNNNNNNNNNNNNNNNNNNNNNNNNNNNNNNNNACUGUAGUACAUGAUUAGUAGAGACAUGAUUUAUUGGCUGAAAUGAAUUCUUACUUGCUUCCCAGAAUACAUGGAGUGCAUGGAUCAGUCUUUUGAUAAGGUAAUUUGGGUAGUCCUCGAACAAGCUGCUUUGAUGAGAUUUGGCUAAUUGCUUCAUAUUGACAUGACCAAGCUUUCUGUGCCAUAAGCUUGCUUUGUCUUGAAUUGAGAUAAAACAUUGCGAUUCAUUUGGUUUCACAUCCAGAAGAUAGAUGUUUCCAUGUCUACGACCCAUGAAAGACUGAGUAGAGUCUUUACUGAUUCCAGAACAUAUUCAUUCUUGAAAGAAGAUCUUGAAACCAGUAUCACACAAUUGACUAAUGCUGAGAAGAUUGUAAUUGAGUCCUUCCACUAAGGAAACAUUACUUAUUGUGAGAUUUCCAAUUUUCACAGUUCCAAAUCCCACAAUACUUCCUUUGCUGUUUCCUCCAAAUGAAACUUUUCCACCAUUUACUUGAGCAAGCUUUAUAAAACAAUUUGAGUCUCCUGUCAUGUGUCUUGAGCAUCCACUGUCAAGAUACCACUUUACCUUUUUCUUGACGGUGACCUGCAUUUAAAAAAGAGUCUCAAGCUUUCUUUGGUACCCAAACUUUCUUGGGUCCUUUGGUGUUAGUAACAUAAGCAGUAUUAGCCCAUAUUUUCUUAACAGGUUUCCAAACCAUAGGACACUCUUUUUCAAAGUGAUCCGGACUGUUGCAUUUUGAACAUCUUAGAGCAUUUCUACCUACAGAUUUUACAAAAAAUUUCUUGAAGUGAUUUUUGUAAACCUCUCUCGAGAGUCUUUUCUUAAUUCUUUCUUUUACUUUAGGAAAAUCAAUCAAGGGAAUUGUUUCUUCUGACAUACCUAGACCGGACUUAUUGAAGUAAGGUCUUUGAGUUGAAAGAAUUUUCUCAAGUUUUUCAGACCCUAUUGAAAAUUUCUUUGAUAUAUUUGAUAAGUCUGUUUUUAAAAAAGCAUUUUCUUUUAAAAUAUUUUCUUCAUUUUCUUUAAGAUUGGAAACAGUCAAGUCUAGACUUUUAACUCUUUCUACUAAAACAUUUUCCUUUUGUUUUAGAGCUGAGUUUUCCUUUUUCAGUUCGGAAAUUCUUUUGAGAGAAGUCUUAAGACUAAAACAUAGUUCAUCAAUGUAUUUAGAAACUUUGACAGGAAUUUUAAAAUUACUUGCCUCAAAUUCACCGUCUGAGUUUGAUCCAGAGUCUGAGUCUGAUUGUGCCAUCAGACAUAGAUUGGCAUAUUCAUUAUCACUUUCUUCACACUCUGUAUCACUCCAGGUUUCGGCUUUGAGAGCUUUUCGAAAUUUUUCAGCUUUUCCUCUCUUCUUCUUCUUCAGAAGAGGACAGUUGGGUUUGAUGUGUCCCUUUUUCUUACAUUCAAAGCAGACUACGUCUUUGUUUGGUUCCUCAUCAUCGACAGACUUGGUCUGCUGUCUUUGAAAGCUUUGUUUCUUUGAGUUGAACCUUCUUCCUUUUCUAUUCAGUUUUCUGAAUCUUCUUAUCAUGAGAGCAAGCUCCUCAUCUUCCAUAUCAUCUUCAGAAUCUGUAUCAUCAGAGUCAUCAUUUGAUUUUAAUGCAAUGGAUUUCUUACCUUUUGGAUCUUCAUCUUCAUUGAUCCGUUCCACUUCAUAAGACUGAAGAGUUCCAAUUAGCUCGUCGACAGAUAGUGGCAUAAUUCUUUGCGUCUCUCUUAUCGAAGUUUUUAUGUGAUUCCAAUCCCUGGAGAGUCCACGCAGUAGCUUGUUUACCUUCAUGGGAUCAGAAGUUGGUUGACCUUGAUUUUCAAGACCAUUCACAAUAUCUGUAAAACGACUAAACAUGUCAGAUAUAGAUUCUCCUGGUUUCAUUCUGAAGGCUUCGUAUUGACCGAGAAGAAUGUUGAUUCUUGUUUCCUUCACUCGAUCUGUUCUUCAUAGGUGAUAUGCAAUCUGUCCCAAACUUCUUUUGCUGUAACACAAGAAGAUAUUCUAUUAUAUUCAGUUGGUGAUAAAGCACAAUAUAAGGAGUAAAUUGCUUUUGCAUCGAGUGCUUGUCUCUUGAUUAUUUCUUCUUGAGUCAUUCCGUUGGUCUCAUCAGUUUCUUUUCCUCUUUCAGAGAUUGAUGCAGUGGUAGGAGUAAUUCCUUUUUCUACAACGUCCCAUUCCAGAGGAUCCUUUGAUCGAAGGAAAGCUUUCAUCUUGUUCUUCCAGAUGUUGUAAUCCUUUCCAUCAAAGUAGGGUGGUCUGGUAUUGCUUUGCCCUUCCAUCAGCCUUGGUGCUAGCAUACUAGCCAUGGAUCUUUUACUACGAAUUAAAACACUUCAAAUAAAGUAAGUACAUAGGCUCUGAUACCAAUUGAUGUUGCUAGUAUGAGUACCUAGAGGGGGGUGAAUAGGUAUAUAAAAGAUUUUUCUUCAACAAUUGCACAAUACUAGACAGUUGAAAGAAACGAUAAUCAAAGUAAGACUAAGAGAGAAGAGAAAAUUGAACACGUGGUUUAUAGUGGUUCGGCUUAUAUCAAGCCUACGUCCACUCUUCUUCACUGACAGCCUAUUGGCUGGAUUCCACUAUGAACAAAAGAGAAGUUACAGCACAGCUUUGCCUUGAUUCCACAGUGUAGAUGUUCUACCACACCUCCUCAAGAUUUCUCACAAAUAUAGAUGCUCUUUUGUAUACAAGUAUUCGCUCAAAGGAUUUGUCUAAACAAAAAGGAGCUUCAAACUUUGGAAUUCUUCUAUCGCGCACACCUUGAACAACUAAGACCGUCUUCCUUAUAUACUCCUUUAUGCCAUCAUACCCGUUGGCACUUACCAAAGGAAUUCCUCCAAUCUACCCGUUGGACGGAAUCAAUUAGGAAGAUUGUUCAAGCUAUUAAAGGAACGUGUUGAUAGCCCAUCAAUCCUGUUCGCCCAUACAAUCAGGAUCUCGGUUUCCAUAAGCAGAACAUUCUAAUAAUAUUUAGGCAAUCACCGGAUCUUCAAUUAUCGAGUCAAUCUUCGAUCAAUUAAAGGACUCCGUUAUGUCUUCUCCAGCCAUGAGAUCUUCUCCAGUUGAUAAGGUUAAAUCCUUAACGAAACAUACAGUUCUGGAUAACCUUUCUUCAACGGAUUAGAGACUGUCAAUGAGGAUAGACUUUGAGUCUUGAGUCUGGCUGUCCGGAGGUCUUCAGACUUUAAACAGCAGAGUCUGCAAGCGUUCAGACUAGACUGAUAGAAACGUUUUGUCAACUACAAAACACUUCAAGAAGAUUUCUCCAACAAGCUUCACCAUUCUCUUUCCAAUCACACCAAACAACCGAACCCACCAUCCUCAAAAGCAUCCGCACUUCUUUUAUGCUUCCUUCAUAUUCUUUUCCAAUGCUGAUAGAUGUCCAAAAGCCAUCUGAUCAAAGCUAGUGAGCCUCUCUGUCUGAUUAAUUUCAACCCCCUGGCACCAAACCAUAAUGCAGUCACACCAUUUACAUGAACUUCCGACACUAUCUUUCCUGCCUAAUUUUAAGGAAGUGAUACACAGACUUCACAGAAAACACUCCAUUAUUAUUCGCAGGCCAUGCAAGCCGAUCCGUUCACAUACCAGAAAGUGUGCUUCUUCCAAAACAACAUUCAAGCUAUGAUAUUAUGACUACUUGCCAAACGAUCUUUUCUUCUUUAUAUAGACAAGUAGAGGAGGGACAAGGCAGAAAUGCAACCUAAAAUCUCAUGGACCGAUCUGUUGUUCCUAAUCACAAGACAAAGGAUUGGUAGCGUAUCAUCCCACACAAAACACAGAAAAUUACUAUUCAUAUGCAAACUGAUUACAGGGGAUGGAAGAACCAAGAGACGAAAACAAUUGCAUAGACAAAUCUUUUGUACCUUAGACUGGUGAUAAUCAGUCCAUAACAAUUGGGAAGGUAAGAGAGCUCUCAAAGGCAGGAGCCAGUGCUUCCAUCUGUCUUAGACGACCACAAUGUGGGGUUUCAAUCAGCAAGCCCACAACUAACGCAGCUCAUAAACUUCACUCAACCCAGCUUGGCAAAACAAGCCUCUUUCAAGAAGUUCCGUUUUGCACCCCAACUUAAUGCAACCUGACGGUUUUGUUUGGGAGAAUAAUAUUGGGGUUGCGUAUGUGUGGGUUAAGAGCCGCCAAUUCCUUCCAUUUAGCACCAGUUCGAUGAACGCGGAAUGAGAUGCUCCACAAUGUGUCACCAGGCUGUGCCUUAGUUGUUGCUGGGGCAGUAGAUUUAGAAGAAGCAGUCUUCGUUUUCAGAAACGGAUGCUUAUUGCUCUUUCCCAUUCCAUUAGCGAGCAACCAACGGGAACCAGAUUGUUGCUGGUUUGAACUUCCCCGGACCCUUCCCUUCCCAGGAUCAGUCUUGAGACCAGCAACAUGGACUUCAGUAAUCUUGCACUGGGGAAUCUAUCCCUAAAAAUUUGUGUGCAGAUGAUAAAAGUUCUUGCUUACAAUCCCAGGACUCGAGGUGAACACACCAAACUCAAGUGGCCUCACAGCACUAGACAUUUUUGAGCAGGGUCCCAGAGGCUCGAGAGUCUUGAAAUUGAGACAUCCCUUCAAAGCUCAGGAGCUUCACUCUCCAGAGACAUCCAAUCAGUCCCAUAUCACUAUGAUCCAGUUCUUGACCCACCACCAAGAAUGACCUCCCACACCACCACCUCAAGAUCACCUAAAAACUCCCCAUCACUCUCCACCAAGAAAGCCCCGUCAAAGAAACGGAGUACUUUAAGGAAACCCCUAUCAAAGAAACUGAGUGCUCUGAGAAGACCCCCGGUGGAAGCCGAUUGGCUGAGCCAGGAGAAAUUCACUAAUGGUGGUCGCCUCAGCGAUGGUGGCAUUCCAAGCUGCGACCAUGCCGCCGGGAGGCGUCUGGCAGGACGACUACAAGGUCGAUGCCAACGGCAACUCGGUGAAGGAGCCGCACAUGGCGGGCACCUCUAUCAUGGCCCACAUCCAGCGGAUCGCCUAUGGACAGUUCAUGAUCUUCAACCCACUGGCCUUCCUGUUCUCCCUGAGCAUCAUCCUGCCCCUCUUGAGUGGGCUUCCAAUAAAGCGGUGACGCUGGAUGUGGACCCAGAUGGUGAUCAUGUGGCUAGCAAUCACGGGGCAGGCGAUCACCUACUUCAUAGCGCUGCGCAACAUAUCGCUGGCUGACACGCGGGGGAUGCUGAAGGACCUGACGGACGUGUCGGUGGUGUGCUGGCUGUGCCUGAUGGGGGUGGUGUUCAUGGGGAAUGUGGUGAGGCUAUGAGUGUGGGUGCUGAGGAAGUGGGGUUACUUGAAGAAGAAAGAGAAGAAGGAUUCAGAUGAAGAUGAUGAAGACAAGCAUGAGGAAGUCUGACGGUCUGCGUGACAAUCGAGUAAAUUGAAUGGUCUUUGUUCUAUGGUGGCGGCAGCAUGUUCAAUAUGUGUAAAAUUUGUGAUUCUGAUGAGCGGGUUGAUGAUGGGUUUUGAGGUGCUCUGUUUUCUUCUACUUCUGUUAGAUAACAGAGUAUUUGUCCUAAAGAGAGGGUAAGACGGAUUCUGCUAGAGAAAUCUUUGGAUGGUAAACGAUUGAAGAGACUAAUGUGGCGCUUGGAGCAAUCGUGCAUGAUCUCCCUCUGUAAUUUGUACAAAAUCAGGACAAUACGUGGUUAUAGUUGCCGCAAUUUCUUCUCCAUACAAUGUUGAACGUGACUGUUGGACGAAGAGAGCUUCAGCCAGUUCGGCCAGGUCUGCUCAGGAACGGCUCAGUCCUCAACUCGGCCAUCUUUGCUCGGCAUUGAAGUAUUCUGGACUUUGGUCCUCAGUUGAGAGGGAGGGUGGCUAGAAAUAAAUUAGUAGUGCAGGAUGGGAUUUCCUGCAAUCAUUAUAUAAUUGUUUCCUUUGUUUGAAUAGUAUUUGAUGCUGAGAUUAGAAAUGUUUGUCUAGGUUUUCUAUUUCCUUCCCUUCCUAGCUGCUGUUAAACAUCUAUCUUUACAGAAGUUUCUACUAUGGAAGGAUCAAUUAAGCAGCCAUCUCAAGCCUCUGUUGCACGAGACCAAACCUCAUGCAGGUUAGAGUGUAUUUACCGUCUAUGACUUGAGAAUUCCAUGUCAAUUAAACUGUACAAAUUCAUGCGCAUUUGAUGAUUAGAAGCACGACUCUGUUUAAGCAUGGUACCCUUUAACUUCUCACCACCGGACAUAAUAAUUUUCAUUGAAAUCUCUGCUAGACUCGAUUCAUUAGACUAUUCAAAACAAUAUUUCGAGCGAUCAGACGCAUGAAAUGAAAGAGAGAGCCGACUCAAAUGAUUGUUAUCGAGGAUGACACUUGAUGAAAGCAUGAACUUAUUCCGCAUGGAACAAAACAAUUUGUUCUGUCUUUCGACAUAAAAACUGCAAUUCUCAUUCAUGUGGAAAAUACAGCACUAUUACAUCAAGGCUGCAGAUAAAAGGGAACAUUAGACCUGUAACUCUCACUACAAACUCGGUCUCUAGCCUGAGUAGCUGCUAUCCAGUUGUCUGAUGGAUUAGUUGCUCAACUGACCCAAAUCCACUGGACAUCUUUAAAGUUUGAAGCUUUCUGUCCUGCUAUUGUUGACGGUUAUAGAAAUCCUAUCGGGUCGCUACCUUUGAUCUUUUAUUAGAUCUUCUACAAGCUCUAAAUAGUUCGUGCCAAUACCCCUCCUGUCUAUAGUUUUCGUUCCUUGCUCAUAUAUCCUCGCUGAGGCAUCCACCCAAAGGUCUUC